rnacentral:rRNA from 1 species
AGAGUUUGAUCCUGGCUCAGGAUGAACGCUGGCGGCGUGCCUAAUACAUGCAAGUCGAGCGAAUGGAUUAAGAGCUUGCUCUUAUGAAGUUAGCGGCGGACGGGUGAGUAACACGUGGGUAACCUGCCCAUAAGACUGGGAUAACUACGGGAAACCGGGGCUAAUACCGGAUAACAUUUUGAACCGCAUGGUUCGAAAUUGAAAGGCGGCUUCGGCUGUCACUUAUGGAUGGACCCGCGUCGCAUUAGCUAGUUGGUGAGGUAACGGCUCACCAAGGCAACGAUGCGUAGCCGACCUGAGAGGGUGAUCGGCCACACUGGGACUGAGACACGGCCCAGACUCCUACGGGAGGCAGCAGUAGGGAAUCUUCCGCAAUGGACGAAAGUCUGACGGAGCAACGCCGCGUGAGUGAUGAAGGCUUUCGGGUCGUAAAACUCUGUUGUUAGGGAAGAACAAGUGCUAGUUGAAUAAGCUGGCACCUUGACGGUACCUAACCAGAAAGCCACGGCUAACUACGUGCCAGCAGCCGCGGUAAUACGUAGGUGGCAAGCGUUAUCCGGAAUUAUUGGGCGUAAAGCGCGCGCAGGUGGUUUCUUAAGUCUGAUGUGAAAGCCCACGGCUCAACCGUGGAGGGUCAUUGGAAACUGGGAGACUUGAGUGCAGAAGAGGAAAGUGGAAUUCCAUGUGUAGCGGUGAAAUGCGUAGAGAUAUGGAGGAACACCAGUGGCGAAGGCGACUUUCUGGUCUGUAACUGACACUGAGGCGCGAAAGCGUGGGGAGCAAACAGGAUUAGAUACCCU